ACAAAGCCUCCAUUUUUCAGUUUUGGGAUACAACGUUGACUCUUUAUCUUAUUUAAAAAUUUUCUAUGAUUAGUAUUUUUUAUUAUUAGAUGAUAAAAUAUGAAUAGUACUUUAUGUAACUAAUUCUUUUAUAAAUUUUUCAAAUAAGACGAACAGUUAAACGUUGGACACAGAAACC
rnacentral:pre_miRNA from 1 species